UACGAAGGGGGCUAGCGUUGCUCGGAAUCACUGGGCGUAAAGCGCACGUAGGCGGGUUGUUAAGUCGGGGGUGAAAUCCUGGAGCUCAACUCCAGAACUGCCUUCGAUACUGGCGACCUUGAGUCCGGGAGAGGUGAGUGGAACUCCGAGUGUAGAGGUGAAAUUCGUAGAUAUUCGGAAGAACACCAGUGGCGAAGGCGGCUCACUGGCCCGGUACUGACGCUGAGGUGCGAAAGCGUGGGGAGCAAACAGGG
rnacentral:rRNA from 1 species